AUCGGAAUUAAUAUAUGAAUACACUUCUUAUAUGACUAUUGUUAUUGGAAGAAAUUCAGAAUUUUGAUCUAUAACAAAUGCCCCACGAUAAUCAAUUUUGGGUGUUAAAUCUCUUGUACUCCUUGAGACAAGACGAUAUUCUUUUCUUUUUAUUGUUUUAAAUGGAAUUCCAUAAAAUUCUUCUAAAGAAGGAACCGCAUUCCAAAAGCCAACGGUUGGACUACAGAUUUAAAAUCUAACGUUUUUUUCAGCUGCAGACGCAAAAAACAUCCUUUCAGUAGAGUCAAAGACAGACAUUUGAGUGCAAGUGUGUUCAUAAGCAACUCCAACUUAAGUAUGAACCACUUAAAAUACAUGUACUUCCCUAUUCGUGUGGUGAUAGUAGAUUCCGGCAAUUAGAAUUGCAUGUACUUGUAUUAAGUUUGCAAAAUGCACAACCACUUUAUAGAAAUAAAAAAAAAAAAAAACUAACUUCGCAAUAAAUAUAUUUUGACGCCAACUGCAGUUUUUAAGACUUUACAGGAUUGUUUUAUCUCAAAACUCUAAGUAUCAGGUAACACUUACCUUGCAAUAUCACAAAACAGUUGAGUAACAGGCAAACUAUACAUGUCCUUUACAAUACUAAAAUAUCAAUUAGUACAAAUCAACCGGAUUUAGUUAAAAGAUGUCAUGAACAGUAUAAGAAAAACAUGACCUUGUGCAAUGCCAAAAUAUAAGUAUCGACAGGCUGUUGAAUAACCGUUCAUAACUGUGUAGUUAUGAAACAAAAUCAAUGUUAGUAUACCGAUUGAGACAAUAUCCAAAGAUCUUACUACAUUGUUAAAAGAUAACCCAUUGAGAAUGAGUUAUUUCAUGGGAUCCAUCAAUAAGUUUUCAUGGGAUCCAUGUUACAUGAAUUUACAUGGAUCGUAUCUAAGUUUACGGGUUUGAUAAACAACAUCGCCGCAAAAACUAAGCUAAAUUGAGAGAUACCGUUUGCAUUUAGGUAUAUCAAGGGACAACCAAACUAGUACUUAUAAACCAAAUGUUUCAUCGAUGCAAAAAGUGUUCAAAGUUUUAAUUAAUUUGUAGUAAAGAUUUUUUGUCGAUGGUUGUCAAUAUUUUUUCCAGAGCCACCAGGACGAGAUAAGCGAUUCAAUCGAUCAACUUUAUCUGUCAAUGUUGGCUUCUCUCAAAUACAAGGUUUUUUUUUAUUGUUAAUGGUAUUGUUUCAUCAGGAAGUUAAAUAUAUCUAAAUAUAUCUUAUCACAUUUCCUUAACAUCCUGCAUAUUUUGACACUGUUACUAAGUUUACUUGAAAAACCAUAACAAGACCAAAAACUGUAACAAGCAAAAAAAAGAAAAAAGAAAAAGGUAACAACCAAGAAGUCUGAAAAUCCAUUCAUCAUCAAUUGCUCUUACAGGUUAAUAUUGCAUACUUUUUAUUCGUGUGCAUUAAGAGGAAUGGUUACCUCGAUUUAGUUGCUUUAACUUGAAUUACCAUUCCUGGCUCCUCCGGAUGUUUAUGGCUGACUACGAUCAUUUAUUUGUUUGUAAACAACUACUCUUAUGAAUGCA
rnacentral:lncRNA from 1 species